UGCAGUCGAGCGGAUGAGAAGAGCUUGCUCUUCGAUUCAGCGGCGGACGGGUGAGUAAUGCCUAGGAAUCUGCCUGGUAGUGGGGGACAACGUUUCGAAAGGAACGCUAAUACCGCAUACGUCCUACGGGAGAAAGCAGGGGACCUUCGGGCCUUGCGCUAUCAGAUGAGCCUAGGUCGGAUUAGCUAGUUGGUGGGGUAAAGGCUCACCAAGGCGACGAUCCGUAACUGGUCUGAGAGGAUGAUCAGUCACACUGGAACUGAGACACGGUCCAGACUCCUACGGGAGGCAGCAGUGGGGAAUAUUGGACAAUGGGCGAAAGCCUGAUCCAGCCAUGCCGCGUGUGUGAAGAAGGUCUUCGGAUUGUAAAGCACUUUAAGUUGGGAGGAAGGGCAUUAACCUAAUACGUUAGUGUUUUGACGUUACCGACAGAAUAAGCACCGGCUAACUCUGUGCCAGCAGCCGCGGUAAUACAGAGGGUGCAAGCGUUAAUCGGAAUUACUGGGCGUAAAGCGCGCGUAGGUGGUUUGUUAAGUUGGAUGUGAAAUCCCCGGGCUCAACCUGGGAACUGCAUCCAAAACUGGCAAGCUAGAGUAGGGCAGAGGGUGGUGGAAUUUCCUGUGUAGCGGUGAAAUGCGUAUAUAUAGGAAGGAACACCAGUGGCGAAGCGACCACCUGGGCUCAUACUGACACUGAGGUGCGAAAGCGUGGGGAGCAAACAGGAUUAGAUACCCUGCUAGUCACGCGUAACG
rnacentral:rRNA from 1 species